rnacentral:lncRNA from 1 species
AUCAAUCCACUGGCCCAACCUGUCAUCUACUCCACCGUUUUCACAGGUACACUCAUUGCAACAUUAAGCUUGCACUGAUUUUUUACCUGGACAGGAUUGAAAAUAAACAUACUAGCUUUUAUCCCAAUUUUAAUUAAAAAAAUAAACCCCCGCUCUACAGAAACUGCUAUCAAAUACUUUCUCACAUAAGCAACCACAUCUAUAAUCCUCAUAAUAGCUAUCCUCUCCAACAAUGUACUCUCCGGACAAUGAACCACAACCAACACCACCAACAAAUACUCAUCAUUAAUAAUCACAACAGCCCUAGUAAUAAAACUAGGAAUAGCCCCUUUCCGUUUCUGAGUCCCAGAAGUCACUCAAGGAACCCCUCUAAUAUCCAGCCUACUUCCCCUCACAUGACAAAAAUUAGCCCCUAUUUCAAUUAUAUAUCAAAUCUCCCCAUUAAUAAACAUUCUCCUUACCCUUUCAAUCUUAUCCAUUAUAGUGGGUAGCUGGGGUGGACUGAACCAAACCCAACUAUGUAAAAUCCUAGCAUACUCCUCAAUCACCCAUAUAGGCUGAAUAAUAGCAGUACUAGCAUACAACCCAAGUAUCACCAUUUUCAACCUAAUCAUCUAUAUCAUUCUAACAACCACCACAUUCCUGGUACUCAACUUGAACUCUAGCACUACAACCCUACUACUGUGCCGCACUUGAAAUAAACUAACCUGACUAAUACCCCUAAUCCCAUCUACCCUACUAUCACUAGGAGGCCUUCCCCCACUAACUGGCUUUCUACCCAAAUGAUUUAUCAUUGAAGAAUUCACAAAAAAUAACAACCUCAUUAUCCCCACUACCAUAGCCAUUAUUACUCUCUUUAACCUAUAUUUUUACAUACGCUUAAUCUACUCUGCUUCAAUUACACUAUUCCCCAUAUCCAACAACGUAAAAAUAAAAUGACAAUUUGAAAAUACAAAAUCCACACCACUCUUCCCCACACUCACUGUCCUUACCACCCUCCUCCUACCAAUCUCUCCACUUACACUACCCACCUCAUAUA